AUUGAACGCUGGCGGCAGGCCUAACACAUGCAAGUCGAGCGGAUGAAGGGAGCUUGCUCCUGGAUUCAGCGGCGGACGGGUGAGUAAUGCCUAGGAAUCUGCCUGGUAGUGGGGGAUAACGUCCGGAAACGGGCGCUAAUACCGCAUACGUCCUGAGGGAGAAAGUGGGGGAUCUUCGGACCUCACGCUAUCAGAUGAGCCUAGGUCGGAUUAGCUAGUUGGUGGGGUAAAGGCCUACCAAGGCGACGAUCCGUAACUGGUCUGAGAGGAUGAUCAGUCACACUGGAACUGAGACACGGUCCAGACUCCUGCGGGAGGCCGCAGUGGGGAAUAUUGCGCAAUGGGCGAAAGCCUGAUCCAGCCAAGCCGCGUGUGUGAAGAAGGUCUUCGGAUUGUAAAGCACUUUAAGUUGGGAGGAAGGGCAAUAAGUUAAUACCUUGCUGUUUUGACGUUACCAACAGAAUAAGCACCGGCUAACUUCGUG
rnacentral:rRNA from 1 species